UUUCUAUGUGGAGAUUGCUCCUCUUGCAGCCCUUCUGUGAGCCCAGGACACAGUAUUUAACAGAAUCACAGAAUAUCCUGAGUUGGAAGGGAUCCAUGAGGAUCAUGAAGUCCAAGUCCUGGCUCCACACAAGACCAUUCCAAAUCCUUCAUGCUCCCUUUGCCUGCUGCUUCAUCUCUCAUCCUUCAUCCAUGCCACCCAUCCCACCCCUGCCACCACAUCCUGCGUAGUGAGGUGACAUCUGUGGCCAUCCAGGCUUGCAGUGGGACAUCCAUGGGAACAUCCUUGUCUGAGCAAACUGAACCCGAAGGGAAAGGACUUCAGGUAGCUGUUAGGGCCCUGUGCUGGCCCUAACAAGGCCUGGCUGUGCUAACAAAGUAAUCACCUGAUUCAGACAUUCUAAAGAGAAUAUAUGAAAAAGCUAAUGAAGGUUUCUCCUGACAAACCACAACAGUAAUUUUUAGGGUGCUUCUCAUCUCUUCUUACACCAUAUCUGCUUCAGACAAAAAGCUAGAUUAAUUGACUAGGAAAAACAAGUAAUAAUUUGUGAAUAGUCAAGUAUUAUCAUGAAGUUUUUCAAGAAAUGAUUCAAAGAUUCCUUUUUUUAUAGAAACUUUCUUCAGGGAAAAGCAUACUAAUUUUAAAGACCAAGCUUAAUAGAUUUCUUCUGCUUUUCAGAAUAUUUCAGAAUUGAGUGAGUUAGUAUUUGGACUUUAACCUACAAAAUUGUGUUUUCUCAUUACUGGUGUUUGCAAAUGAUGAGACAUUUUUGGAGUUGUUUUUUUUUAAUCCACAGCUUAAUGGCACAGGAUGACCUGAUCAGACAGCAACUGUCAUCAGAAAUAUCACAGUUUAAAACUGAUUAUUUCUGUCUGUCUAUCUGGUGUGCUGCACUAGACUAAAUGAGUAUAUUUUUUCACAAGCACCUGGUUUUGAGUGCUGUUAUAUAUACUUGUCUUACCAGACAGACAGACCUGCUGCCUUUGUUGUGAACCAGAGCAAUCUCUGCAAUCAAUAGAGAUUACUGGGAAAAAGUAGGACUGCUGGUUCUGACUGACCUGUAUGCUAAACCCUGAGCACUGUGCUCAUCCUCUUGAGUGAACUCUGACUCUGCAUUCCUCCUGUGGUAUUUAAAAAUGACAUUUGCCUGCCAGAAGCACAGCAUAAGCAAUAGCUGUAAAAUGUUGCCUAAGGAUGGAAAUGCUACUGGAAUGGUUUCACAAUUGGGUUUUCUCUUGCAAAGGAAAUACUUUUCAUAGUGUUUGCUUGAAAACAGGCUCUGUCUGUUUCUACUGUACUUGCCUAUUUUUAACUGCUUUUGUGAAACUUGGUUUCAUGUGAACUGCCCCCCUUUUUCAAUUUCUGAACAUCUCAGCACAUACAUAGCUUCACAGAUUUUAAUCCCUGGCUUGUUUUGGGAGGCAAAAAAACAUACGUUUGUUUUAGGCUAUAUAAAGCUAGUAUGGAGUAAAGGCAGGUGAUCUCGUACCUAUGCAACUGUACCAUUUCGGCAGUAUUUUCUGUGUCAUUAUUUCUGUGGAAUACUAUGUUAAAAUGCUUUUCUAGUAAUGAAAGUGUAGAUUAUGAACUAUAAUCUCCUCAGCCAUGUCAUGUUUCAGAUUCCAUUAAAUGAUCCUCAUCUUAUCUUUUAAAUGAUCAUCUCUGUGAAUACUUACCUCCAAAUUUCUGGAUAAUUCACUUGUCAUAUGUGAU
ensembl:lncRNA